UGCGGUUGCGAUAAACGCUGAAGGCAUCUAAGCGUGAAACGUGCUUCAAGAUGAGAUAUCCCAUCAUUUUAAAUGAGUAAGGUCACUUGCAGACUACAAGUUUGAUAGGUCGGAGGUGUAAGUGCAGUAAUGCAUUCAGCUAACCGAUACUAAUUGACCGAGGGCUUGAACUU
rnacentral:rRNA from 1 species